UUGACAUCGGUCUGCAUCUGAGAUCACAAUUGGGCCAGGCCAGAUCAGGCCAGGAGAUUCCACUGCAUUGGGUGGAGUGAGGUGUGGUGAAUCACCUGUAUGGUUCCAGGAUGGCCCUAACCCGCCUGUCAUCUGCAUCUGGUCUGAAGAUAGUCAACUUUAUCAGUGAGAAGAUUGUAAUCAAAGAUCCCGGAGACAUUCCUACUUGAAAUCUAUUCAUAGAAGUGAUCUGACCUGUUACAAUAAUAGAUGCUGCCUGACCUGCUGAGUGCUUUCACCAUUUUCUGCUUUAGACUUCCAGCAUCUGCAGUGUUUUGCUUUUCCGUUCGAGCGGGCAGGAGGUACAGAAGCCUGAAGUCCCACGCCACCAGGUUCAGGAACAGCUACUUCCCUUCAACCAUUCGGUUCUUGAACCAACCGGCACAACCCUAACCCUACUUCAGUAUAGCAACAUUGUGACCACUUUGACC